GACGACUUCCCGUAGUGGUUAUCGGGUUACCUUGCUAUUGGUGUGUUCAAUCAGGUAAUGUGCUUGCACUCGAGAGUUCGAAUCUCUCAGUCGUCG